UAAGACUGGGAUAACUUCGGGAAACCGGAGCUAAUACCGGAUAAUAUUUUGAACCGCAUGGUUCAAAAGUGAAAGACGGUCUUGCUGUCACUUAUAGAUGGAUCCGCGCUGCAUUAGCUAGUUGGUAAGGUAACGGCUUACCAAGGCAACGAUGCAUAGCCGACCUGAGAGGGUGAUCGGCCACACUGGAACUGAGACACGGUCCAGACUCCUACGGGAGGCAGCAGUAGGGAAUCUUCCGCAAUGGGCGAAAGCCUGACGGAGCAACGCCGCGUGAGUGAUGAAGGUCUUCG
rnacentral:rRNA from 1 species